GAUGAAGAACGUAGCGAAAUGCGAUACGUAAUGUGAAUUGCAAAUUCAGUGAAUCAUCGAGUCUUUGAACGCACAUUGCGCCCCCUGGUAUUCCGGGGGGCAUGCCUGUCCGAGCGUCAUUGCUGCCCUCAAGCACGGCUUGUGUGUUGGGCCCCGUCCUCCGAUCCCGGGGGACGGGCCCGAAAGGCAGCGGCGGCACCGCGUCCGGUCCUCGAGCGUAUGGGGCUUUGUCACCCGCUCUAUAGGCCCGGCCGGCGCUUGCCGAUCAACCCAAAUUUUUUAUCCAGGUUGACCUCGGAUCAGGUAGGGAUACCCGCUGAACUUAAGCAUAUCAAUAAGCGGAGGA
rnacentral:misc_RNA from 1 species